rnacentral:rRNA from 1 species
UACAGAGGGGCAAGCGUUAUUCGGAAUUAUUGGGCGUAAAGGGCGCGUAGGCGGCCUUGCAAGUGACGGGUGAAAUCCCUCGGCUUAACCGAAGGAACCUGCCGUGAUCAGACUGCAUGGCUUGAGACCAGGAGAGGUGGAGUGGAAUUCCCCAGUGUAGCGGUGAAAUGCGUAGAUAUUGGGAGGAACACCAGUGGCGAAGGCGGCUCACUGGACUGGUACUGACGCUGAUGCGCGAAAGCGUGGGGAGCAAACAGG